UAGGGAAUCUUCCGCAAUGGGCGAAAGCCUGACGGAGCAACGCCGCGUGAGUGAUGAAGGUCUUCGGAUCGUAAAACUCUGUUAUUAGGGAAGAACAAAUGUGUAAGUAACUAUGCACGUCUUGACGGUACCUAAUCAGAAAGCCACGGCUAACUACGUGCCAGCAGCCGCGGUAAUACGUAGGUGGCAAGCGUUAUCCGGAAUUAUUGGGCGUAAAGCGCGCGUAGGCGGUUUUUUAAGUCUGAUGUGAAAGCCCACGGCUCAACCGUGGAGGGUCAUUGGAAACUGGAAAACUUGAGUGCAGAAGAGGAAGGUGGAAUUCCAUGUGUAGCGGUGAAAUGCGCAGAGAUAUGGGGGAACACCAGUGGCGAAGGCGACUUUCUGGUCUGUAACUGACGCUGAUGUGCGAAAGCGUGGGGAUCAAAAAGG
rnacentral:rRNA from 1 species